rnacentral:rRNA from 1 species
AUACAGAGGGUGCGAGCGUUAAUCGGAAUUACUGGGCGUAAAGCGCGCGUAGGCGGCUUAUUAAGUCAGAUGUGAAAUCCCCGGGCUCAACCUGGGAACUGCAUCUGAUACUGGUAAGCUAGAGUUUUGGAGAGGGAAGUAGAAUUUCAGGUGUAGCGGUGAAAUGCAUAGAGAUCUGAAGGAACACCAGUGGCGAAGGCGACUCCCUGGACUUGAACUGACGCUGAGGUACGAAAGCGUGGGUAGCAAACGGGAUUAGAAACCCCAGUAGUCC